rnacentral:rRNA from 1 species
GACGAACGCUGGCGGCGUGCUUAACACAUGCAAGUCGAACGGAAAGGCCCCCUUGUGGGGUACUCGAGUGGCGAACGGGUGAGUAACACGUGAGUAACCUACCCUUGACUUUGGGAUAACUUCAGGAAACUGGGGCUAAUACCGGAUAGGAGCUCCUGCUGCAUGGUGGGGGUUGGAAAGUUUCGGCGGUUGGGGAUGGACUCGCGGCUUAUCAGCUUGUUGGUGGGGUAGUGGCUCACCAAGGCUUUGACGGGUAGCCGACCUGAGAGGGUGACCGGCCACAUUGGGACUGAGAUACGGCCCAGACUCCUACGGGAGGCAGCAGUGGGGAAUAUUGCACAAUGGGCGGAAGCCUGAUGCAGCAACGCCGCGUGCGGGAUGACGGCCUUCGGGUUGUAAACCGCUUUCGCCUGUGACGAAGCGUGAGUGACGGUAAUGGGUAAAGAAGCACCGGCUAACUACGUG